AGAGUUUGAUCCUGGCUCAGGAUGAACGCUAGCGACAGGCUUAACACAUGCAAGUCGAGGGGCAGCGGGGGCGUAGCAAUAUGCCUGCCGGCGACCGGCGCACGGGUGAGUAACACGUAUGUAACCUGCCCUAUGCAGGGGGAUAACCCGGAGAAAUCCGGCCUAAUACCGCGUAACACCUUAGGGGAGCAUUCUCUUGAGGUUAAAGGAGAGAUCCGGCAUAGGAUGGACAUGCGUCGCAUUAGGUAGACGGCGGGGUAACGGCCCACCGUGCCGACGAUGCGUAGGGGUUCUGAGAGGAAGGCCCCCCACACUGGUACUGAGACACGGACCAGACUCCUACGGGAGGCAGCAGUGAGGAAUAUUGGUCAAUGGCCGAGAGGCUGAACCAGCCAAGUCGCGUGAGGGAAGAAUGUCCUAAGGAUUGUAAACCUCUUUUGUCGGGGAGCAAAAAGGCUCUGCGGAGUCGUAUUGAGAGUACCCGAAGAAAAAGCAUCGGAUAACUCCGUGCCAGCAGCCGCGGUAAUACGGAGGAUGCGAGCGUUAUCCGGAUUUAUUGGGUUUAAAGGGUGCGCAGGCGGCGUGUCAAGCAAGCGGUAAAAUAGCGGGGCUCAACCCCGUCGAGCCGUUUGAACUGGCGCGCUUGAGUUCAGGCGAGGUAGGCGGAAUUCGUGGUGUAGCGGUGAAAUGCAUAGAUAUCACGAAGAACUCCGAUUGCGAAGGCAGCUUACCAGUCUGCGACUGACGCUCAGGCACGAAAGUGUGGGUAUCGAACAGGAUUAGAUACCCUGGUAGUCCACACAGUAAACGAUGAGCGCUAGGUGUCCGGGUCGCAUGAGACUUGGGUGCCCGAGCGAAAGCGUUAAGCGCUCCACCUGGGGAGUACGCCGGCAACGGUGAAACUCAAAGGAAUUGACGGGGGCCCGCACAAGCGGAGGAACAUGUGGUUUAAUUCGAUGAUACGCGAGGAACCUUACCCGGGCUCAAACGACUCAGGAAUAUAUUGGAAACGAUGUAGCCAGCAAUGGUCUGAGUCGAGGUGCUGCAUGGUUGUCGUCAGCUCGUGCCGUGAGGUGUCGGCUUAAGUGCCAUAACGAGCGCAACCCCUACCGCCAGUUGCCAACGGGUAAAGCCGGGAACUCUGGCGGGACUGCCGGCGCAAGCUGUGAGGAAGGCGGGGAUGACGUCAAAUCAGCACGGCCCUUACGUCCGGGGCGACACACGUGUUACAAUGGCAGGUACAGCGGGAAGCCACCUGGUGACAGGGAGCGGAACCCGAAAGCCUGUCUCAGUUCGGAUUGGAGUCUGCAACUCGACUCCAUGAAGCUGGAUUCGCUAGUAAUCGCGCAUCAGCCAUGGCGCGGUGAAUACGUUCCCGGGCCUUGUACUCACCGCCCGUCA
rnacentral:rRNA from 1 species